AGGAACCGGAAGCGACCGCGGCCAUCUUAGGUGUCCGCUUCAUGUCUGGAAAGACGCUCCGCAGCUAUCACAACACCGGGACGGAACCGAAGCUCUCGGCCCCUCUUGGUGCAGUUCUCGACUGUCAGAGGAUCACACUGCUCCCCAAGUGCAAACUCAAGUGCUAAGCCGAGCUUUUGAUCCUCGGGAGAUACUCUUGGUGUCAACUUUCUUAAUAGUUCCUGGAGACAAGAGAGCUCGUCCUGGAGGCCAGAGACUGUAACUGCUGAGGAGCCCAUCUGGGGAGGAGAAAAGAAGGGCACAAAGGGUCACUGGCUACAUAGAAGCCUCCACAUCGGAGAAGGUCACUGCCGCUGGGGUGGUGCCAGGACAAGCGCUUCAUAAGGAUGAGAAGAGGGUCAUUGUGGAAGAACUAUUCUUAAGCUACCCUUGUCCCGACAAUGACCUCACAGGAAGCCCUCCAAUCCCUUUUCCCUUGACCCUCUAAUCUCAGACUGACCGGUCCACGGCCCUGCUGGAAGUGGGCAAAUGCUCUUCUGACCUCACUGUCCAGAAUUCGAUUAGGGACCCAGAAGUAACCUGAGAGGCUGCAAAAUAAAGAGUGAUGUCACAGCUUGUCAGUGACCUCUGCUAA